AUUUCUCUGAGAUGUUUGCAAGCGGGCCAGUCCCCUGAGCCGAUAUUUCAUACUCGGCCCGUCCGAGAAGCCUUAAAACUGUGACGACACAUUCACCUUGAACCAAGGGUUCAAGGGUUACAGCCUGCGGCGGCAUCUCGGAGAUUCC
rnacentral:other from 1 species